rnacentral:rRNA from 1 species
CCCUAUGGGGUGCAGCAGGAAUGGGCGACGCCGGUGUUGCCACCACUCCCGAUGCCAAUUCCGGUCACUGGAACCCUGCAAAAUAUGUCUUCAGCGAUAAGGAGCUUGGCGUUGCCAUUUCUUACACGCCCUGGCUCCGCCGGUUGGUUCCCGAUAUGAAUAUUGCCUAUGUAUCGGCCUAUAAACAACUCGAUAAAGAAAAUACCAUUGCCGGUUCGCUGAUGUAUUUUUCGCUGGGCAGCAUUAACUUUACCGACAUUACCGGAAGCACCAUCAGGGAUUUUACACCGCAUGAAUUUGGUGUUGACUUCAGCUACUCGCGUUUGCUGGGUGACAAUUUUUCGGGCGCCGUUGCCCUGCGAUACAUUUACAGCAACCUGGCGGGAGGGC